rnacentral:rRNA from 1 species
UUAGAGUUUGAUCCUGGCUCAGGAUGAACGCCGGCGGUGUGCCUAAUACAUGCAAGUCGUACGCACUGGCCCAACUGAUUGAUGGUGCUUGCACCUGAUUGACGAUGGAUCACCAGUGAGUGGCGGACGGGUGAGUAACACGUAGGUAACCUGCCCCGGAGCGGGGGAUAACAUUUGGAAACAGAUGCUAAUACCGCAUAACAACAAAAGCCACAUGGCUUUUGUUUGAAAGAUGGCUUUGGCUAUCACUCUGGGAUGGACCUGCGGUGCAUUAGCUAGUUGGUAAGGUAACGGCUUACCAAGGCGAUGAUGCAUAGCCGAGUUGAGAGACUGAUCGGCCACAAUGGAACUGAGACACGGUCCAUACUCCUACGGGAGGCAGCAGUAGGGAAUCUUCCACAAUGGGCGCAAGCCUGAUGGAGCAACACCGCGUGAGUGAAGAAGGGUUUCGGCUCGUAAAGCUCUGUUGUUGGAGAAGAACGUGCGUGAGAGUAACUGUUCACGCAGUGACGGUAUCCAACCAGAAAGUCACGGCUAACUACGUGCCAGCAGCCGCGGUAAUACGUAGGUGGCAAGCGUUAUCCGGAUUUAUUGGGCGUAAAGCGAGCGCAGGCGGUUGCUUAGGUCUGAUGUGAAAGCCUUCGGCUUAACCGAAGAAGUGCAUCGGAAACCGGGCGACUUGAGUGCAGAAGAGGACAGUGGAACUCCAUGUGUAGCGGUGGAAUGCGUAGAUAUAUGGAAGAACACCAGUGGCGAAGGCGGCUGUCUGGUCUGCAACUGACGCUGAGGCUCGAAAGCAUGGGUAGCGAACAGGAUUAGAUACCCUGGUAGUCCAUGCCGUAAACGAUGAGUGCUAGGUGUUGGAGGGUUUCCGCCCUUCAGUGCCGGAGCUAACGCAUUAAGCACUCCGCCUGGGGAGUACGACCGCAAGGUUGAAACUCAAAGGAAUUGACGGGGGCCCGCACAAGCGGUGGAGCAUGUGGUUUAAUUCGAAGCUACGCGAAGAACCUUACCAGGUCUUGACAUCUUGCGCUAACCUUAGAGAUAAGGCGUUCCCUUCGGGGACGCAAUGACAGGUGGUGCAUGGUCGUCGUCAGCUCGUGUCGUGAGAUGUUGGGUUAAGUCCCGCAACGAGCGCAACCCUUGUUACUAGUUGCCAGCAUUAAGUUGGGCACUCUAGUGAGACUGCCGGUGACAAACCGGAGGAAGGUGGGGACGACGUCAGAUCAUCAUGCCCCUUAUGACCUGGGCUACACACGUGCUACAAUGGACGGUACAACGAGUCGCAAGCUCGCGAGAGUAAGCUAAUCUCUUAAAGCCGUUCUCAGUUCGGACUGUAGGCUGCAACUCGCCUACACGAAGUCGGAAUCGCUAGUAAUCGCGGAUCAGCAUGCCGCGGUGAAUACGUUCCCGGGCCUUGCACUCACCGCCCGUCA